ACCCAGCUUAAGAGUCCUAAAUAGGACGAAACAUGCGUCCUGGAU
rfam:Schistosoma curassoni strain Dakar, Senegal genome assembly, scaffold: SCTD_scaffold0000240